rnacentral:tRNA from 1 species
GCCUGGGUGGCUCAGUCGUUAAGCAUCUGACUUCGGCUCAGGUCAUUAUCUCAUGGUUUGUGAGUUCAAGCCCCGCAUCAGGCU